rnacentral:rRNA from 1 species
UACGUAGGGUGCAAGCGUUUAAUCGGAAUUACUGGGCGUAAAGCGUGCGCAGGCGGUUUUGUAAGUCAGAUGUGAAAUCCCCGGGCUUAACCUGGGAACUGCGUUUGAAACUACAAGGCUAGAGUGUGGCAGAGGGGGGUGGAAUUCCACGUGUAGCAGUGAAAUGCGUAGAGAUGUGGAGGAACACCGAUGGCGAAGGCAGCCCCCUGGGUUAACACUGACGCUCAGGCACGAAAGCGUGGGGAGCAAACAGG